AUCUCAUCUGAUCUCUGAGGCUAAGCAGGGCUGGACCUGGUUAGUAGUUGGAU
rnacentral:rRNA from 1 species